rnacentral:rRNA from 1 species
AAAGCUGGCUCCUUCGGGGUCCGCAUUGUAAUUUGCAGAGGAUGCUUCGGGAGCGGUCCCCAUCUAAGUUCCCUGGAACGGGACGUCAUAGAGGGUGAAAAUCCCGUAUGGGAUGGGGUGUCCGCGCCCGUGUGAAGCUCCUUCGACGAGUCGAGUUGUUUGGGAAUGCAGCUCUAAAUGGGUGGUAAAUUUCAUCUAAAGCUAAAUAUUGGCCGGAGACCGAUAGCGCACAAGUAGAGUGAUCGAAAGAUGAAAAGCACUUUGAAAAGAGAGUUAAAAAGCACGUGAAAUUGUUGAAAGGGAAGCGCUUGCGACCAGACUCGCUCGCGGGGUUCAGCCGGCAUUCGUGCCGGUGUACUUCCCCGCGGGCGGGCCAACGUCGGUUUGGGCGGUCGGUCAAAGGCCCUCGGAAGGUAACGCCCCCAGGGGCGUCUUAUAGCCGAGGGUGCAAUGCGACCUGCCUAGACCGAGGAACGCGCUUCGGCUCGGACGUUGGCAUAAUGGUCGUAAGCGACCCGUC